rnacentral:lncRNA from 1 species
AGAAGACAGCAAGAGGACGACAAAGGUGGCGAGAUGAUGGGAGUGGGAUUCCAGCGGUGGGACGACAAGCUGCAGAGCAGUCCUUUUUUGCUGAGAACUUCAGAGACCUGCAGAGAGGUCAGAAUGACUUUCUUGCAGAGAUGAGUCACUUUCUCCAGGGAGGUCUCUUUGCUAAGACGCUGAACACUGGACUGGAUGACCGGCCUACAGAGAGGAACUACCCAUUUCUGUUGGAGCACCCACCCCUGCUGGACAAGACCCUUCCUGGGGGGGCCACCUUGGAAC